AAAAUUAGAGUGUUCAAAGCAGGCAGAUCCAAUUUUCUGCCACCGAAUACAUUAGCAUGGGAUAAUGGAAUAGGACCCUGUCCUCCUAUUUUCAGUUGGUUUUGGCAGCGCGAGGACUAGGGUAAUGAUUAAUAGGGAUAGUUGGGGGCAUUAAUAUUUAAUUGUCAGAGGUGAAAUUCUUGGAUUUAUGAAAGAUUAACUUCUGCGAAAGCAUCUGCCAAGGAUGUUUUCAUUAAUCAAGAACGAAAGUUAGGGGAUCGAAGACGAUCAGAUACCGUCGUAGUCUUAACCAUAAACGAUGCCGACCAGCGAUUAGGAGACGUUGAAUACAAAACACCACCAUCGGCGCGGUCGUCCUUGGCGUCGGUCUUUCGGGGCCGGCGCGGGGACGGCUU
rnacentral:rRNA from 1 species